rnacentral:rRNA from 1 species
UACGGGAGGCAGCAGUGGGGAAUAUUGCACAAUGGGCGAAAGCCUGAUGCAGCUAUGCCGCGUGUAUGAAGAAGGCCUUAGGGUUGUAAAGUACUUUCAUCGGGGAGGAAAAACAAAACUAAUAAUUUUAUUUCUUGACGUUACCCGAAAAAGAAGCACCGGCUAACUCCGUGCCAGCAGCCGCGGUAAUACGGAGGGUGCUAGCGUUAAUCAGAAUUACUGGGCGUAAAGAGCACGUAGGUGGUUUUUUUAAGUCAGAUGUGAAAUCCCUGGGCUUAACCUGGAACUGCAUUUUGAAACUGAAAUACCUAGAGUAUCGUAGAGGGAGGUAGAAUUCUAGGUGUAGCGGUGAAAUGCGUAGAUAUCUGGAGGAAUACCUGUGGCGAAAGCGGCCUCCUAAACGAAUACUGACACUGAGGUGCGAAAGCGUGGGGAGCGAAACAGGGAUUAGAUACC